rnacentral:rRNA from 1 species
CCUACGGGUGGCUGCAGUGGGGAAUAUUGCACAAUGGGCGCAAGCCUGAUGCAGCCAUGCCGCGUGUGUGAAGAAGGCCUUCGGGUUGUAAAGCACUUUCAGCGGGGAGGAAGGCGUUAAGGUUAAUAACCUUGGCGAUUGACGUUACCCGCAGAAGAAGCACCGGCUAACUCCGUGCCAGCAGCCGCUGUAAUACGGAGGGUGCAAGCGUUAAUCGGAAUUACUGGGCGUAAAGCGCACGCAGGCGGUCUGUCAAGUCGGAUGUGAAAUCCCCGGGCUCAACCUGGGAACUGCAUUCGAAACUGGCAGGCUAGAGUCUUGUAGAGGGGGGUAGAAUUCCAGGUGUAGCGGUGAAAUGCGUAGAGAUCUGGAGGAAUACCGGUGGCGAAGGCGGCCCCCUGGACAAAGACUGACGCUCAGGUGCGAAAGCGUGGGGAGCAAACAGGAUUAGAUACCCCGGUAGUC